CCUAGGGCUUACGCCCUAGGCUAAUAAGUAGCGCGCCUACAGCGCU
rnacentral:ncRNA from 2 species